CAGUUCAUACCAUCACAUAUUUACAUAAUCUAGUAAGUACGAAAAGGACACAAAAAACCAAAAUAUGAAAGGUUUCUUUGGAGUUGUUAUGUUUCUGUUCUUAUUUAUUACGGUAUCUUUAGCCAGUCGCAAAAGUUUAACAAGUAUUGGAUCGAAGAGACUAGUUCCAGGAGGUCCAGACAAUGCGACAUCUCCAUCUAAUCCACCAGCGUUUGUAACUGAUAUUGAAAUAAAGAGGCUAGUUCCAGGAGUUCCAGAUAAUGCGACAUCUCCAUCUAAUCCACCAGCGUUUGUAGCAAAUAUUGAAAUGAAAAGAAAAGUUCCAGGAGGUCCGAACAAUCAGACAUCUCCACCUACCCCACCAUCUUUUUAGUGGAUAUAUAUUUUAAAAGUUCAAUAAAUUAAUAAUCACAAACUUUCUGUCAAUCUAAUCUAAUAUUGGUUUAAUUAUGAUUGUUUCAAAAAAAUAAAAAAUAAAAAUAAUAAGUAUUUUUUUCUAUACACUAUAUUAUUCAUUAAAAAAAAUGCUGAAUAUGAAAUAUAUAAUUUUCAAAAAAAAAAAAUCCUAAUACCAUUUUUUAGAAAGAAUCCUAAUAGCAUUUGAUUAAUUGCUUACCUGACUUUCCGAAGAAAACAUAAUAUUAAAAACACUGAAGUACACACUACUAAAAAUAUUUUUUCUGUGCGAAAAGAUCAUCACGUGAACAGACACAUCUAUUCAUUCAUGAUCCAUCAUUUAUCCUGGAGUGUUCCCAUCGCCGAUCAACAACAGUUUUCUUAGACCAUAAUAAAUGUUUGGCAGUUAUAAAGGAGUGGCUAAAUAUAGUCUGCUUUGUGCAUUUGUUUUUCUCUUGUGAUCAAAGUGUCAACAAAUACAUUCAUCUGUUUUUGUUACUCAUGGCAGACAAAUUACAAAAAGAUGCAAGAAAUUACGUUGAGUAUCAUUGAUGAAGACAUCACUUUACUCGACGAUUUAUACGAAGAUGCAUCAGAGGAGAACGGCUAGGGGUGUCAAAACAGAUACAAACUAAUGGGCCGAUCAGGACCAAUCCAAACCAUGAAUUUUAAUGGAUAGAAAAAUUGGGUACAAAUGGAUUAAUGGGUAAAUGAGUUAAUGGACUUAAAUGGUUUGGAUUGUAAUGGAUAAUGCCAAAUCAAUAAAAAUCUAUAACAAACUUAAAUUCAAAUCAAAUAUAUAUUAAAAAAAGUAACCAAACCAAAUUUCUAAACCAGUUUACUACACCAAAUUUUAUUUACUUUUCACAUAUACAACGAAAUUACAAUAACCUAAAUCUCACUUAGUUAUAAUUUUUUAAUGUUAAAACCCAAUUUCUCAUAUAUAUGUGGGGUUUUAGAAUUUAAAUCAUUUUUUUUGCCAAAUAGAUAAAAUCAAUUUUUUUGACAAAACAAAAAAUUGAUUUUUUCCAUCAAAAGCGCUAAAUCUCUUCUUUUUUUUUUUUAUCAAAAUCGUAAAAUUGUGUUUUUCACCAGAUCCACAAAAUCAUGUAUUCCUGCAAAAACUGCAAAAUCAUGUUUUUCUGUCAAAAUCGAAAAAUCGUUUUUUCUAGCCAAAACCGCAAAAUUGUGUGUUUCUCGCAAAAAUCGCAAAAUUGGGUUUUCCUGCCAAAACCACAAAAUUGAGCUUUCCCUCCAAAACUGCAAAAUUGUGCUUUCCCGCCAUGACCAUAAAAUCGAGUUUUCCCACAUAAAAUGUAAAUUGAGUUUUCUCACAAAAAACCGCAAAUUUGUGUUUGCCAGCCAAAACCGUAAAAUUGAGUAUUUCCGCAAAAUGUUUAACUGAAUGUUCCCUCCUAAACUGCAAAAUCUUUUUUUCCUGUCAAAACAAUAAAAUAAAGCUUUCCGCCUUUUGAAAAAACAAGCUUUCCUGCCAAAACCGCAAAUUAAGUUUUUCCGCCAAUAUCGCAAAUUUAGUUUUCCUGUCAAAACUCUAAAAUUUUGGUUUCCCGCCAAAACAGUAAAAUUCUGUUUUCUUGCCAUAAUUGUAAAAUUGUUUUUCCGCCAAAUCUGUAAAAUUGAGUUUUCCACCAAAACAUAAAAAUCUUGUUUCCGUAAAAUUAAUUUUUCUGCCAAAACCGCAACAUUGUAUUUUUCCGCCACACCUCAAAAAUCUUAUUUUCCUGACAAAACAGCAAAAUUGAUUUUUCCUGCCAAAACCGUAAAUCGUGUUUUCCAUCCAAAACCGUAAAUUGUUUUUCCCCAAAACCUGUAAAAUUGAGAUUUCCGACAAAGCCACAAAAUGGUGUUUUCUUCUAAAACUGUAAAAUUGAGUUUUCUUGCCAAGAUCACUUAAGAAAAUAAGAAAAUCUUAUUUUCCACCAAAACCUUAUAUUUGUAUUUAUUUUAAACCCUAAAAAUAAUACUUUUUACUUAAUAACUUUUAAAAUAUAAAAUUAUUGUCCAUGGAUUAACCGUUUAAACAAUUAACUCAUUAACUUAAAUGAGUUGUAGAUUGAUCCAAUCGAUUUGUCAAAUGUAUUGGUUUAAUACAUGGCCCAUAUAAUUUAAAAACCAUUUCGGUGUUUUGGUUCGGUUUACCCAUUUUGGAGCCAAUUAAACAUAUUUUACUUUUCAUAUUUUUAAACAUAUUUUCUUUACUAAAAUCAUAAAAAAAUCAUAAAUUUAUAUAAGAAUAAAAUAUACGAAUCCGGCGCAUAGCACCGGAAUACCGCUAAUAAAGAAUAUGAUAGUAUAUUAUGAAUUAGUUAAGUUUUUAAAACUAACUAGUCAAAAAUUGAUUUGAUAACGUUACCUUCAAUUAAUGUCUAAGAAUCUAGAAAUUUUAAUGGUACAAUUCAUAAAUGACACGCCUGGUUAAAUUUGAUUCUAUGUAGUGUUUUUGUUUAAGUAGAAUAGAUUAUAUAUAUAUAUAUAUAUAUAUGUAUAUAAUUAUUGAUUUAAUAUUUAGUUUAGGUAUGAGUAGUAGAUCUUUUUGAAAAAGGGUUUCAACUUCCUUAUAUAAAUUUAUCUAUAUUUAUUAUAUAUGAGUUCAAAUGUACUAAAACUGUUUUUAUUAAAAAAUUUCUCUGUUCAUGCAUUUAAUCUGUUUAGAUAUUUAAUUUUAAUAUUGAUAAGGUGACACAGAAAAAAGAAAUACGUGUCUUUCUAUUCAAAGAUUUUUUUGUUAGAUUUAGUUUUUUUCCUUUGAGAUAUCUAUACUAUUAAAAGAGUUAUUUGUUAGAAUGGUCUUGUUGUGUACCAUAAGUAUGUGCAUACUAAAUAUUUACCUUCAUUAACAGAUACUAUAAAUUAUCUCAUUUCAAGCAGUUCAUACCAUCACAUAUUUACAUAAUCUAGUAAGUACGAAAAGGACACAAAAAACCAAAAUAUGAAAGGUAUCUUUGGAGUUGUUAUGUUUCUGUUCUUAUUUAUUACGGUAUCUUUAGCCAGUCGCAAAAGUUUAACAAGUAUUGGAUCGAAGAGACUAGUUCCAGGAGGUCCAGACAAUGCGACAUCUCCAUCUAAUCCACCAGCGUUUGUAACUGAUAUUGAAAUAAAGAGACUAGUUCCAGGAGGUCCAGAUAAUACGACAUCUCCAUCUAAUCCACCAGCGUUUGUAGCAAAUAUUGAAAUGAAAAGAAAAGUUCCAGGAGGUCCGAACAAUCAGACAUCUCCACCUACCCCACCAUCUUUUUAGUGGAUAUAUAUUUUAAAAGUUCAAUAAAUUAAUAAUCAGAAACUUUCUGUCAAUCUAAUCUAAUAUUGGUUUAGUUAUGAUUGUUUCAAAAAAAUAAAAAAUAAAAAUAAUAAGUAUUUUUUC
rnacentral:lncRNA from 1 species